UUUUUUAUAUGGAUUGGUGACUUGCUGUUUCUCUACUCCCCCCCCCCCCUUUUUGUUUCUUUGAUAAUAUUUCUUUACGCAUUUUGCGUAUGCUAUCAAUAUUUUCUUUUUUCCUUCUCUUUUUUCCCCCUCCCCUUUUUUUGUGGCAUUGCUUACUUAUGUAUCUUACCCUGCCCUCUUAUUUUUGUUUCGACUAACUCUUUGUUUUUGUUCUCAGGCUUUGAUAUGCUAAAUUCUUGCCUUUUGAUUUUGUUUCUAGACUUCUGAUAUUUUUAUUAUGAAGUAUUGGACAUUCCUCUACCAGAACUGCAAGGCCUAAAAUCUCUUAAAAUUGCUUUUCAUCAAGGAUGAAAUAUAGAUGGUGAGGAGGUUAUUCAUGACGUUCGAUGGAUUAUGCUGCAAAGAAUUAAAAUUCUAAAGGAAUUGAAGAGCAGUAAUAUGGCUACCUUAGAGGUGGGGCUGAAAUGUGGAAGUAAGGUUGUUCACUGGCCCAAUUAUCCUAGUUGGCUCGAUCCUGCCCAUGACCAUCACGGAUACGCAUGCUAACAUCUUUUGGCAAUACUGGAAGGGAAUCAGUACAUAAAGGUCAAUAUAUGUUGGAGUAAAUAAAGGUCAGUCAGAACACAAAGGGAAUCAAUACGCUACUUAUGUGCACUAAAGGUACACAUUGGUAAUUUAUUUCGUACUGAAUUGUCUUCGCUAACUUUUUUGCCAUUAGUGGAGGGGAAUUAGUACAAUGCUUCUUUGAGGCUUAUCUGGGAGUACAUAAAGGUGAAUCAGCUCGAGGUGACUGUUAUGAUAAUUACUGAUCAAUUUGGUACAUCUUCUAACUGAUGUGGAUCUUUGAGUUAACAAGGCCCGUUUCAGAUUUAUGCAUUGCCGCUCUUUUAUAUUAUUUUAUUUAUGUGUUUUUUAUAAUUUUUUUUCCUAUUUGUUGUGCCUUUCUUGACUUUUGCAUCAGUGUCUGGUUUUAAUUCUGUUUUGCGUUUAUUCAUUUCUAUUUCACCAUGGUCAAACUUUGAAAGAGGCCUGGAAUGUCACCUUGGUAUAUUUUCUUUAUUUUGAAAGUAAUUGAAACUUGUUUAGUGGUUACUGUAAUAAUCAGGGAUAUAAAUAGCUUGGUUUUUUAGAGUGAACAGAGAAACUCAGGGGUGAGUUAAAUUUCUUCAUAUUUACUAUUUUUGUUCGAUUUUUUUUUUAACUCCAUUCAUUAUUUUGAAUGUCUAUCUGUAGGUGAUUAUUGGUGGUUAUUAUGAAUUUGCUUUUAAGGUAUUGCAGUAACCUUAUUUUUUGUCUCAGUUUGUUACUUUUAGAUAUCAACCUUCACUGAAUUGUGCUACUUCCUAUGAGCCAUCCUUUUUAGCAGAGCAUACAAGAAGUUAUCAACUAUUUCAGCUGGAGAGAAAAGUCAGAAAGCAGUAUGAAUGAAAAAAGAUCGGAGACCAAUCAUUUCACUUCAUCAGUAUUAGUAAUUCUGGAAGUGCUUGGGGAGUACUACCAAAUUGUUUGCCCUUUGAUUUAAAUCCAGUUUUCUAUAACUUCUGCUGUGAGCUAAAUGCUUAUAUUUCUGUACCUGUUCAAUAACCAACGUUUUUUCAAAAAUAAAAAUUGAAAUGGGAAAACAGUGAGGAAGAAAAGUCUCGAAAGCAAAAGAAACACAAUGUUAGUUGUGACAGCGGAAUUUUUCAAUUCCUUUCCUUUUAGAAUUUAUAUUCUGUCCGUUUGUUACAAAUUCCAAUUUGAGUAUAAAUUUUCUAAGCAAUAAUAUUCCUUACUUGCUUGGAUUUGA